GUCCAUAUACUCCAAUUGGUAGAGAGGCUACGUUGAGAACGUAGAUUAGUGCUGGUUCGAAUCCAGUUAUGGACA
rnacentral:tRNA from 1 species